rnacentral:tRNA from 1 species
GGACAGAUAGCUCAGUUGGUAGAGCAAUGGACUGAAAAUCCAUGUGUCGUGGGUUCGAUUCCCUCUCUGUCCACCC